UCACAUUUCCUGUUUCUGCAGGAUUAUUUUCCUGCUGUAGCAAACUGGCUCAAAUUAAGAUCCUACAUCUGUAUGUGGCAUAAGUCUUGCUCUUGGCUGUUUUGUUAAAGUAAAAUGUGACAAAGACUCAUCCUUUGUACGUUAGGUACAAAAUAGUAGAACGAUACAGGUGGGUAUUGUAAAGUUGCAUCCAGUCCCUUCUAUGUGAUGUAUAUGUAUCUGCCUCUAGUGUAGAACAUGCUUCCUAGAGAUGUUGAUACCACAAACCUGUCCUGAAUUUAUUCAGAUAUUGAUUUCAAAUGUCAACAACAUCCAAAGUGAUCAGCAUAUUGGCUUUUGACAACCGUACUUUGCGCAGGUAGAUAUGGCUACAGUACAUAUUUCCUUGUUGAUUGUCUGAUUCUUUGUCUACUUAGCAGCGGUUUGUAAAAUGUAAAUGUAGACAUACAUUUCACUGUUGAUUUGUUGUGAUCAAUUUGGCCAAUGUGUGAUAACCAGGUGGUUGUCAUGGUAGGGACAGACAGGCUUUUUUGUCUGACUUCCUGACAAUAUGGUCCAAUUACAGUAGGCUAACUCUUUUGCAUCAGAGCCACAUUUAUUUUAGUCUCUUGUGUUAAAGACCAGGAUAUAUUAUCUGUCAAAACAUUUCGUUUAAAAUUCCCAUCGCAAGGUUGACCGAUUUAUUGAAUACAUUGCAGAAUAGUUUCAUUUUCUUUCUGGCACCUUUUAAAGACCUCAUACUUGUGGUUUUAUUUCUCAACUUGUAUCAUUUUAUUUGUCACCAACUUACCAUGUACAAUAAAGGUCUUGACUAAAA